rnacentral:rRNA from 1 species
CAAGCCCUGGAAACGGGGUCUAAUACCGGAUACGACAUCCUCCCGCAUGGGAAGGGUGUGGAAAGCUCCGGCGGUGCAGGAUGAGCCCGCGGCCUAUCAGCUUGUUGGUGGGGUGAUGGCCUACCAAGGCGACGACGGGUAGCCGGCCUGAGAGGGCGACCGGCCACACUGGGACUGAGACACGGCCCAGACUCCUACGGGAGGCAGCAGUGGGGAAUAUUGCACAACGGGCGAAAGCCUGAUGCAGCGACGCCGCGUGAGGGAUGACGGCCUUCGGGUUGUAAACCUCUUUCAGCAGGGAAGAAGCGAGAGUGACGGUACCUGCAGAAGAAGCACCGGCUAACUACGUGCCAGCAGCCGCGGUAAUACGUAGGGUGCGAGCGUUGUCCGGAAUUAUUGGGCGUAAAGAGCUCGUAGGCGGCCUGUCACGUCGGAUGUGAAAGCCCGGGGCUUAACCCCGGGUCUGCAUUCGAUACGGGCAGGCUAGAAUUCGGUAGGGGAGAUCGGAAUUCCUGGU